rnacentral:piRNA from 1 species
UUGUUCUGUUAGUGGUCAUCGU